UGCUGUGAUAAAGCACUGUGACCUAAGGA
rnacentral:piRNA from 1 species